UGCUUAACACAUGCAAGUCGAACGAUGAAGCCCAGCUUGCUGGGUGGAUUAGUGGCGAACGGGUGAGUAACACGUGAGUAACCUGCCCCCGACUCUGGGAUAAGCCCGGGAAACUGGGUCUAAUACCGGAUAUGACCUCGCACCGCAUGGUGCGGGGUGGAAAGAUUUAUCGGUGGGGGAUGGACUCGCGGCCUAUCAGCUUGUUGGUGAGGUAAUGGCUCACCAAGGCGACGACGGGUAGCCGGCCUGAGAGGGUGACCGGCCACACUGGGACUGAGACACGGCCCAGACUCCUACGGGAGGCAGCAGUGGGGAAUAUUGCACAAUGGGCGCAAGCCUGAUGCAGCGACGCCGCGUGAGGGAUGACGGCCUUCGGGUUGUAAACCUCUUUCAGUAGGGAAGAAGCGAAAGUGACGGUACCUGCAGAAGAAGCGCCGGCUAACUACGUGCCAGCAGCCGCGGUAAUACGUAGGGCGCAAGCGUUAUCCGGAUUUAUUGGGCGUAAAGAGCUCGUAGGCGGUUUGUCGCGUCUGCCGUGAAAGUCCGAGGCUCAACCUCGGAUCUGCGGUGGGUACGGGCAGACUANAGUGAUGUANGGGAGACUGGGAAUUCCUGGUGUACGGUUGAAAUUGCGCAGAUAUUCAGGGAGGAACACCCGAUGGCCGAAAGGCAGGUCUCUUGGGCAUUUACUGGACNCUNAAAGANCCGAAANCAUGGGGGACCGAAACAGGAUUAAAAUNCCCCUGGGUAGUCCCCCCCGUUU
rnacentral:rRNA from 1 species